rnacentral:tRNA from 1 species
CACUAAGAAGCUUUGCAGGGCCUAAGCGUUAGCCUUUUAAGCUAAAGACCGGUGGCUCCCGCCCACCCUUAGUGA